CCUACGGGGGGCAGCAGUGAGGAAUAUUGGUCAAUGGACGAGAGUCUGAACCAGCCAAGUAGCGUGAAGGAUGACUGCCCUAUGGGUUGUAAACUUCUUUUAUACGGGAAUAAAACGCUCCACGUGUGGGAUUUUGUAUGUACCAUAUGAAUAAGGAUCGGCUAACUCCGUGCCAGCAGCCGCGGUAAUACGGAGGAUCCGAGCGUUAUCCGGAUUUAUUGGGUUUAAAGGGAGCGUAGGUGGAUUGUUAAGUCAGUUGUGAAAGUUUGCGGCUCAACCGUAAAAUUGCAGUUGAAACUGGCAGUCUUGAGUACAGUAGAGGUGGGCGGAAUUCGUGGUGUAGCGGUGAAAUGCUUAGAUAUCACGAAGAACUCCGAUUGCGAAGGCAGUUCACUGGACUGCAACUGACACUGAGGCUCGAAAGUGUGGGUAUCAAACAGGAUUAGAUACCCCAGUAGUC
rnacentral:rRNA from 1 species